rnacentral:rRNA from 1 species
UACGUAGGCAGCGAGCGUUUGUUCGGAAUUACUGGGCGUAAAGAGUGUGUAGGCGGUGCUCUAAGUUCGGUGUGAAAUCUCCUGCUUAACUGGGAGGGUGCGCCGGAAACUGGAGUGCUCGAGCGUGGGAGAGGAAAGCGGAAUUCCUGGUGUAGCGGUGAAAUGCGUAGAUAUCAGGAGGAACACCUGCGGUGUAGACGGCUUUCUGGACCAUUGCUGACGCUGAGACACGAAAGCGUGGGUAGCAAACAGG